UAUGUAGGGUGCAAGCGUUAUCCGGAAUUAUUGGGCGUAAAGAGCUCGUAGGCGGUUUGUCGCGUCUGCUGUGAAAACCCGAGGCUCAACCUCGGGCCUGCAGUGGGUACGGGCAGACUAGAGUGCGGUAGGGGAGAUUGGAAUUCCUGGUGUAGCGGUGGAAUGCGCAGAUAUCAGGAGGAACACCGAUGGCGAAGGCAGAUCUCUGGGCCGUAACUGACGCUGAGGAGCGAAAGCGUGGGGAGCGAACAGG
rnacentral:rRNA from 1 species